rnacentral:tRNA from 1 species
GCGGGUGUAGCGCAGUGGUAGCGCAUCUGCUUCCCAAGCAGGCGGUCACGGGUUCAAAUCCCGUCACCCGCU